rnacentral:rRNA from 1 species
GACGAACGCUGGCGGCGUGCUUAACACAUGCAAGUCGAACGGAAAGGCCCUGCUUUUGUGGGGUGCUCGAGUGGCGAACGGGUGAGUAACACGUGAGUAAACUGCCCUUGACUUUGGGAUAACUUCAGGAAACUGGGGCUCAUACCGGAUAGGAGCUCCUGCUGCAUGGUGGGGGUUGGAAAGUUUCGGCGGUUGGGGAUGGACUCGCGGCUUAUCAGCUUGUUGGUGGGGUAGUGGCUUACCAAGGCUUUGACGGGUAGCCGGCCUGAGAGGGUGACCGGCCACAUUGGGACUGAGAUACGGCCCAGACUCCAACGGGAGGCAGCAGUGGGGAAUAUUGCACAAUGGGCGGAAGCCUGAGGCAGCAACGCCGCGUGCGGGAUGACGGCCUUCGGGUUGUAAACCGCUUUCGCCUGUGACGAAGCGGGAGUGACGGUAAUGGGUAAAGAAGCACCGGCUAACUACGUG